GCCUGGUUGACUCAGUCGGUUAAGCAUCUGACUUCGGCUCAGGUCAUGAUCUCACAGUUUGUGAGUUCGAGCCCCACAUCAGGCU
rnacentral:tRNA from 1 species